GGAAUAUUGCGCAAUGGGCGAAAGCCUGACGCAGCAACGCCGCGUGAAGGAAGAAGGUUUUCGGAUUGUAAACUUCUGUCCUCAGGGAAGAAACAAAUGACGGUACCUGAAGAAGAAGCCCCGGCUAACUACGUGCCAGCAGCCGCGGUAAUACGUAGGGGGCGAGCGUUGUCCGGAAUUACUGGGCGUAAAGGGCGCGUAGACGGUUGUCUAAGUCUGGAGUGAAAGUCCUGCUUUCAAGGUGGGAAUUGCUUUGGAGACUGAAUGACUUGAGUGCGGAAGAGGUAAGUGGAAUUCCCAGUGUAGCGGUGAAAUGCGUAGAGAUUGGGAGGAACACCAGUGGCGAAGGCGACUUACUGGGCCGUAACUGACGUUGAUGCGCGAAAGCGUGGGGAGCGAACAG
rnacentral:rRNA from 1 species